rnacentral:rRNA from 1 species
GAGGCUUACACAUGCAAGUCGAGCGGGCGUAGCAAUACGUCAGCGGCAGACGGGUGAGUAACGCGUGGGAACGUACCUUUUGGUUCGGAACAACCCAGGGAAACUCGAGCUAAUACCGGAUAAGCCCUUACGGGGAAAGAUUUAUCGCCGAAAGAUCGGCCCGCGUCUGAUUAGCUAGUUGGUGAGGUAAUGGCUCACCAAGGCGACGAUCAGUAGCUGGUCUGAGAGGAUGAUCAGCCACAUUGGGACUGAGACACGGCCCAAACUCCUACGGGAGGCAGCAGUGGGGAAUAUUGGACAAUGGGCGCAAGCCUGAUCCAGCCAUGCCGCGUGAGUGAUGAAGGCCCUAGGGUUGUAAAGCUCUUUUGUGCGGGAAGAUAAUGACGGUACCGCAAGAAUAAGCCCCGGCUAACUUCGUGCCAGCAGCCGCGGUAAUACGAAGGGGGCUAGCGUUGCUCGGAAUCACUGGGCGUAAAGGGUGCGUAGGCGGGUCUUUAAGUCAGGGGUGAAAUCCUGGAGCUCAACUCCAGAACUGCCUUUGAUACUGAA